CCGACAGCGACACUUUAAUUCGGGAAAUUGCGAACUGAUCCAAUAUGGUAGAUAAAAAGUACGAAAGAAAGACGAAGUCAAUAAAAAACCAAUUAUUGCUUGCUUUAAUGGUACCAUUUGCAUGAGUUUGUGGUUUAGACAGGUAGAGGAAUGUCUGCGACUAAGCCAAGGGCCACUGCAUAAGGGUUAUUGAUGACAAAAUAGGUUGGAGACUACAUGAGAUUUUGACAGAUGGCGGGAAACCCUCAUCAACUAGAGAUCAGCCGGAAUCAUCAAGCCAACCUGCAGCAGCCCAAACUGGGGGCCAAAGAGAUGGCUGACCUUGAAAAGGAGCUCGAACUUGACCUUGAAAACUUGGAUGUAAAUACAGACGACAUAGACCUAGAUGAAAAUUUAUUGGAAGACUGAUUGGUCAACUAUGCUUGUAGAAAAAAGAGACAUUUCGAUCAUUAUUAGGGAAACAAGUUUUGAAAUUGCAUGACUGUGUACAUAGAGUGUUUAUGAUUUGAUUUCAAGUUGCAUAUGAGGUUUACAAGUGAUGUGAAUCUUUACUUGUGCUUAUUACUAUCUUGUCAGUGCUUAUUGUUUAACACUCAGUGGGACAAUGGAAUUACAAAUGGUUUGUGAAAAUUUGAGACAGAUGAAUUGUGUUUGAAAUCAUUUCAUUUAGUGCUAAUGUAUGUUUUUAGUUUUGAGGGAACUGAGUGAAUACUGCUUGUGCAAUUGACUGAUACAUAUUGAUUUAAAUUGUUUUAGUGAAGCUUAUACUAAAAUUACAUUUCACGUGUGAGGUAUGGGAAAUUUACCAAACCAAGUUUUUUUCGGCAUUGAUAUAAUUAAAAAAGGCAAGGGUCUAGUUAAAAAUGUUAAGAAUAACUUAUUUUAGUUUUUUAAUAGGUCAGCAUAAAAUAAAACAUUUAUGUAACAACACAUAAUUGUAUUUAUUUCCAUUAUUUGGCAUAAAGUUACCAGUCAAAUUCAAGAUGUAAUAACUAUGUUGUUGAACUAAAACUCUUGAAAGAGCGGGCAUGUUAAGUUACAUUGUAUAUAGUGACAUCACAUUUGCAUGUUUGGAAUAUUCCUAUAUAUGAUACAAUAUGUUGGUAUGAUUUUGUUACAUGUAUUUAAAAUUUGCAAUGCAUACUUCACAUAUAUUGUAUGUGGGAUACAAUCCCGUGCUUGUCAUUGUUAUAAUACAUCUCAAUACUUUCUGCUGUUUUUGGGGUAAUGGAAUAAGAAGCUAUGAUGUUGAAUACCACUGAAUACAAGUAAAAUAAGCGACUUACUGACAUCUAUGUUGAGCAAUGUGGCAAUUGUCUCGGAUGAAUGUUUCAUUAUUCGUGUAGUAUAUAUAUAUGAAUAUAUUUGUUAGUUUUUAUCUAAUUAAGAAAUAUUUAAGUUUUGUUCUAAUUAUGAAAAUAUUAAAUAAUAUUGUUGAGUCUUGAAUCCAAAAUAAGCAUUAUUGCAAUGUGUAUAUUUUUUUGGACAAAGCAUGUUUCCGUAAAUUAAAAUAAUGCAUUUAUAAUAUUUCUUACUGACUCAGUAUUGAAUAAGGAUUAAACACUCCUAAGAAAUUACAAAUAAAAUGGUUUGGGGGGGACAAAGUUUGAAUCAAGCCUGUAUUCAAGCUGUUAUAAUUGAUCAUUUGACCAAAGUUACAGUGUACAUUAUAUUUAUUUGUGUAUAAUGACUAUAAAAAUAUAUCACAUGUGAAUGUGGUAGCACGCAUAUUUUGGAUUCUACUGUAGCAUCAUGAGGAUGGACAUACUAAAUAAAUUUGAUAAUACAAA